AGCGAACGCUGGCGGCAGGCCUAACACAUGCAAGUCGAACGAACUCUUCGGAGUUAGUGGCGGACGGGUGAGUAACACGUGGGAACGUGCCUUUAGGUUCGGAAUAACUCAGGGAAACGUGUGCUAAUACCGAAUGUGCCCUUCGGGGGAAAGAUUUAUCGCCUUUAGAGCGGCCCGCGUCUGAUUAGCUAGUUGGUGAGGUAAAGGCUCACCAAGGCGACGAUCAGUAGCUGGUCUGAGAGGAUGAUCAGCCACAUUGGGACUGAGACACGGCCCAAACUCCUACGGGAAGCAGCAGUGGGGAAUCUUGCGCAAUGGGCGAAAGCCUGACGCAGCCAUGCCGCGUGAAUGAUGAAGGUCUUAGGAUUGUAAAAUUCUUUCACCGGGGACGAUAAUGACGGUACCCGGAGAAGAAGCCCCGGCUAACUUCGUG
rnacentral:rRNA from 1 species